CAUCAGUCUGAAAUAAACAUUUGGUGAGAACGAACAUUUCUGCAGCGGAUUUAAUUUUUUUUAUAAAUAUUUUCUUUUUGCAAAAAAAUGAAAUUUAUUUCAAUAUUAUUAUUAGUAUUGUUCGCUCUGAUUCUGGCAAAUAUUGAGGCAAAGCCGGUUUUAGAAGAGGAGGGCAAAAAUGUUGUAACAGACACUGAACCCAAUGACAGUGUGAGUGAUGAGUCCAACCUAAAUCUGGAUGAACAGAAUGUUAAAACUAAUUAUUAUAAGUUAUGCGAUUGGUAAUAUGUUUUAUUAGCGCAAAUGUUGUUUUCUUAAAAAAAAACAGGCGUAACGUCAUAAAUCUAGAGUAUUUUUAAAUAACAAAAUAAAUAUGGUAUCCCAACAGA